GAUGAACGCUGGCGGCGUGCCUAAUACAUGCAAGUCGAGCGAACGGACGAGAAGCUUGCUUCUCUGAUGUUAGCGGCGGACGGGUGAGUAACACGUGGAUAACCUACCUAUAAGACUGGGAUAACUUCGGGAAACCGGAGCUAAUACCGGAUAAUAUUUUGAACCGCAUGGUUCAAAAGUGAAAGACGGUCUUGCUGUCACUUAUAGAUGGAUCCGCGCUGCAUUAGCUAGUUGGUAAGGUAACGGCUUACCAAGGCAACGAUGCAUAGCCGACCUGAGAGGGUGAUCGGCCACACUGGAACUGAGACACGGUCCAGACUCCUACGGGAGGCAGCAGUAGGGAAUCUUCCGCAAUGGGCGAAAGCCUGACGGAGCAACGCCGCGUGAGUGAUGAAGGUCUUCGGAUCGUAAAACUCUGUUAUUAGGGAAGAACAUAUGUGUAAGUAACUGUGCACAUCUUGACGGUACCUAAUCAGAAAGCCACGGCUAACUACGUGCCAGCAGCCGCGGUAAUACGUAGGUGGCAAGCGUUAUCCGGAAUUAUUGGGCGUAAAGCGCGCGUAGGCGGUUUUUUAAGUCUGAUGUGAAAGCCCACGACUCAACCGUGGAGGGUCAUUGGAAACUGGAAAACUUGAGUGCAGAAGAGGAAAGUGGAAUUCCAUGUGUAGCGGUGAAAUGCGCAGAGAUAUGGAGGAACACCAGUGGCGAAGGCGACUUUCUGGUCUGUAACUGACGCUGAUGUGCGAAAGCGUGGGGAUCAAACAGGAUUAGAUACCCUGGUAGUCCACGCCGUAAACGAUGAGUGCUAAGUGUUAGGGGGUUUCCGCCCCUUAGUGCUGCAGCUAACGCAUUAAGCACUCCGCCUGGGGAGUACGACCGCAAGGUUGAAACUCAAAGGAAUUGACGGGGACCCGCACAAGCGGUGGAGCAUGUGGUUUAAUUCGAAGCAACGCGAAGAACCUUACCAAAUCUUGACAUCCUUUGACAACUCUAGAGAUAGAGCCUUCCCCUUCGGGGGACAAAGUGACAGGUGGUGCAUGGUUGUCGUCAGCUCGUGUCGUGAGAUGUUGGGUUAAGUCCCGCAACGAGCGCAACCCUUAAGCUUAGUUGCCAUCAUUAAGUUGGGCACUCUAAGUUGACUGCCGGUGGCAAACCGGAGGAAGGUGGGGAUGACGUCAAAUCAUCAUGCCCCUUAUGAUUUGGGCUACACACGUGCUACAAUGGACAAUACAAAGGGCAGCGAAACCGCGAGGUCAAGCAAAUCCCAUAAAGUUGUUCUCAGUUCGGAUUGUAGUCUGCAACUCGACUACAUGAAGCUGGAAUCGCUAGUAAUCGUAGAUCAGCAUGCUACGGUGAAUACGUUCCCGGGUCU
rnacentral:rRNA from 1 species